rnacentral:lncRNA from 1 species
AUGAUCUGAGCAUUUCAGCUGCCAGAGUGAUGUUUUUCUACUGGUAGGGCAACCAACCAACAUCCAGCAAAGGGAAGCCAAGUUAGUACAGCUAAAGGAUGCCAUUAAGAUAUGAAGUUCGCAAGAUGCUUGAAAUGUUGGAUCUCCUGUCCUGGCUUCCCCAUUUACUCCUCCCUUUGGGAAACCUUGAGACUCUAGUCUCUUCUGAUAUUUGAACUUAAGUGUGGGGGCUCAGCCCUCUCAGGUUUGUAGGACUGGACACAAAUGAAAUCUGCGGAUGACCCUGUAACAAGCAGCAUUCAAUGACGUGGUCCUUGUCAAUGGUGAGCCACACCAGCGAGGGCCACUGAAGCUACAGACUGCCCGUUGGGGACAGUUCUUGCCAUAUUCUCUGUUGUUUUCAUUUGCUUUGCGCGGCAGCACAAAAAUUGUAAAUAACAUUCACAACACAGCUGUUUCUGUGCCUAUUUUCUAUACAAAAAAAUCUCUAUAUUCUAGCUUAAUAAACAGGUCUUAAGGCUUACAGCCCUAUACAGACUGGGCAUGGAGAGAGUCCAAUUGAACUUGGCAUCUGAGGAAAGAUGUAUAGAACUGUACGGUGAAGCGAGUUACAUUAUUUGUCUGUGGCUUGUUUGUUCUGGACAGAGUGUUCCCACUCACCCCCCUUGCAGGCCAUUGUUAAUAAAAUAUUCGUAUAAUUCAAUAACAUUCACAUUUGCUAGACAACUUUGUGAAGUGGCCAUAGUAAGGUCGUGGAGGGCAGUGGCCUUAUCUCCUCCCCCCCCCCGAGGCCCCCUCUGGCAUGGAAAACAUGUAUUGGUGAGUUUUGUAAAUCUCCAGAGUGGGUUUGGAGGGGUGCUUAGAGUAAAUCUAUUUAAUUUUUCUUUUAAAAAGCAAGUAGUAAGUUCCGUUCCCUUGGAAGCUGAACCAGGCUCGUGCGUGUACAACAGACGUGAAAACUGGACAUCCAUUUAUCUGUACAAAAUGGUGGUGGGUGGUGUUGGAGAAACCAUUCUUUUCCUUGUUUCUCUUCCCGGCCAAUCUGGAGUCGAUUCCUCUGCUGAAAAAAUGAUGAAAGCAGGGAAGGAAGUUUAUGUUGCAGCAUCCGUUUUUUAAAAAAGGCAACCAAUAAGGUUGCAUUAGAAUAGGCCUGCAAGGGUAAAUAUUAUUUUCCAGGAUCUGAAGGGUUUGUUCAUUCAGAAAAAAAAAGAUCUCAUCUACCAUUUCACGUCUGUGGUUUAGGCCAACCGGGGCCCCUUAGCUCUCCAGCCUGAUAUGGCUAAUGGUCUAGGAUGUUGGGAAUUGUAGUCUACAACUUCUGGGAGGCAUCAGGUUGGAACAGGUCAGUCUCUGGAGCCUUUGUGAAAUGGUUAUUCUCAUUUUUGUGCCUACGGAGAGGAUUCCAUGGUGCACAUGCUUCUGGGAACAUUUCCGAACCAUCGCCAGUGGCCCAGAACACCUGGUCCUUCCUCUGAGCCUCGGUUCAGUUGGACGUAGUGGUCAAGAGGCAACCUGGUGGAGCCUUAUUAGAUCUUAGAAGGAAUGUGCAAAGGAACAGUACUUUAACUUAUAACAUAUUGCUUCUUUGCUAACGGUGUUUCCAGAGAACUUUUUUAAAAAAAACAAAGUUGUGGUUAUUAAAUUUGUCACUUUUUAGUACAGUGGGUAAAGUGUACAAAACCCCUAAGUGGGGUUUUUUUUGGUGUAUUCUUAAGAAACACUUUGGGGUUUUAUGUUUUCAACGAGUGUUGGUGUUUUGUUCUGUUUUUUUUAAUUAAAAAGUAGCAAAAAGAAAAGCAUAGCUUAGGUGUUACUAAGUGCUGCUUUUCACAACAGUAUUUAUAAGCCGUGAUAACCAUUUGCCCUUUUAAAAGGAUCUGUGAGCAACAGAUUGGUUUCUAGGAACGAUUGACAAAGUUCUCUGUCUUAUGUAGCAAAAGGUGUGAUCUAUGCUGGUUGUAAAAGGUAGCAGCAGGCUUGGGAAAAUCCGAUGGUUUGCAGAAAUAUAGAAAUAACUUUAUGAAGUGGGGGGGAACUUAAAAGGAGACAGAAGCCUCCCCAGACACUCAAGGAAACACCCUGUCAUUUGGUUUGAAAUGCUUACAAAGGCGUAAGUUACCAGAAUAAAGUAUUAUGUAAAAGAAUGCA